CCUGGUGUUUAUGUAGCCAGGAAAAAAAAAUAUGCGUCUCAUUCACACGAUUAAAAAGCUUAUUUAGUUAAAUCCAAGUUUAUGCCAUAUUACUGGAGUGAAAAAAAGUUUUGAUGAAGGCACUUUUUUGUUUUGUCUUAGUGGUUUUAUACUAUUUAGAAAAAAAAAAACACAGACAAAUGGCAAUCCAUUAAUUCUCCUGAGUUAUGUUUCCCAUGGAACUGACAGCUUUGAGCGUCACAGUUGUAAGGUAAAUGUUAGUAAUAUAGUUUGCUCUUAAGACACUGAAAUCGUUACUGAUAAUCACUUUCUACUUUGUGCUAUACAUUGCAAAGGUUGUACUUGAUGUGAUGAAGUGUUUUUCCAUUUUAUAUUGUGCACAGUAGACAGCUAUAUACUUCCACCAACUAAAGCAUUUGUCAUGUGAGACGAUUUCUUUCUUUUUUUUAUUCUUUUCAAAUAAUUUUUAUUAACGUUUUAAAAUUUUGUAUAGCAAGUGAUAAUAAUACUAACAUUGUUUUACUUUUUUUUAUUCUUUCAGCUUGGUGACUGCUACAGAAACCUUAUAAAGACUGGGAUAGUCAGUUAACCUCUUCGGGAUAAAGGCAAAUCUUAUGAAAUGAAGACUAUGCUGUCAUGACUUAUUUCAUGAAGGUGUUACUCUGGUAAAAUACGUUUUAAAUUCUCAGUCUAUUAAUUAUGUUAGCUAGUAUUUGACCAACAACAUAUUUUUCUUUAUCAAUAAUCCAG
rnacentral:lncRNA from 1 species